UACGUAGGGGGCAAGCGUUGUCCGGAAUCAUUGGGCGUAAAGCGCGCGUAGGCGGCCCGGUAAGUCCGCUGUAAAAGUCCAGGGCUCAACCCUGGAAAGCCGGUGGAUACUGUCGGGCUAGAGUCCGGAAGAGGCGAGUGGAAUUCCUGGUGUAGCGGUGGAAUGCGCAGAUAUCAGGAGGAACACCAAUGGCGAAGGCAGCUCGCUGGGACGUUACUGACGCUGAGACGCGAAAGCGUGGGGAGCAAACAGG
rnacentral:rRNA from 1 species